rnacentral:lncRNA from 1 species
GAGUUAUGAGUUUUAAUACAAAUAUUGUCUUCUAUACAAUAUUCAAACUCAAAAUAAGUCUUCAAUACAUUUAUUAUCACACUAUUUCACAGAAUAGUGAGGACUACAAAUACAAACAUCUGGACCGUCACUUCGUUCCCCGACUAGUCUCAGCUAUAUUCUCAUUUCCUGAAGAGAACAAUGAAAGCAAAGGGGUGAGCUCAACUAGCCCAACAAGAAAUAUUAUGACUAAGAUAAUGUAGAAUAAAUUAUCGUUAGCCUUCAACAGUGUUAAACUGAUAAAAUAUAAUAAACAUCAAGUUUAACUGCAGCGGAACAAACAAUCCAUUAGAAGAGUUAAGUAGAGCAUGAUAUCUACUAUCUUCUAUGAUUUAAAAUGUUUAUCAUCAAUUUUAUCGCUGAGACUCAGCUUAAUAAAUAAUUCACAUCACUGAAUUAUCCAUGUACUACGGGCCAAUGGAGACUUUUACCACAUCAUUUGUAACAUUACAGGUCAUGAUUAUACCGAAUGAUUCCUGGUCAUAACCAUACCAAUCAACAGUCCAUCUAUGCACUACGGGCCAAAGAUGACUUUCAUAACCAUAUAAACAUGAGGAUGAUGACAAUGAUAUAAGAAUUCAAUAAAGUCCAAACUGUCAACAUGAUACUGCUUUGUGGAGUAAAAUUCAAGAAUAAUAUCGUAUCAAAAAUGAUUUGGACAUAAAAGAAAUCAAUUUUUGUCAUGAAUAGUACCCCAGUAUGAAAAGGUUAAAACUUAUCAAGACUGCUCAGAAUAAUAUUUUCAUGAAAAGAUACUGGAUGAAGUGCAAAUAUCAAAGAAUUUUUGAUCAUUUCAGGAAUUAUAGAAUCAAUACUUACCAUAGUAAGUUUAGAGUUAGGAAUCUGAAAUGAACAAUAUACGAAACUGUAAAUGGAUUUUCAACUGUCAUGCGGUAUUCCGCGUAGACAGAUUAUUUCCAUAAUUUAAUACCAAACGAAUACGAAGGGUUAUUCACCAGGCAUGCGGUAGUCCGCGUAAACAGGUUAUUCCCACAGAAUAAUAAAUAAUGGAAUAACAACAGGAUUUCACCAUGCAUGCGGUAGUCCGCGUAGACAGGUUAUUCCAACAGAAUGAUAAAGAAUGGAAUCACAACCCUUACGAGUAUUGAAAGAAAUAACUCUCUUCAUGAAUACGAAAGAAAUAAUACCCCUUAACUUAGUAGGAGAUUGGAUACUGCAAUAGUGUAGUAACAGAAUACUCUUCUUCUUUCUCUCUUAUUCUCUCUAUACUUUCUCUCUCUA